GUGCCAGCCGCCGCGGUAAUACGUAGGUGGCAAGCGUUGUCCGGAUUUAUUGGGCGUAAAGCGAGCGCAGGCGGUUCUUUAAGUCUGAUGUGAAAGCCCCCGGCUCAACCGGGGAGGGUCAUUGGAAACUGGAGAACUUGAGUGCAGAAGAGGAGAGUGGAAUUCCACGUGUAGCGGUGAAAUGCGUAGAUAUGUGGAGGAACACCAGUGGCGAAGGCGACUCUCUGGUCUGUAACUGACGCUGAGGCUCGAAAGCGUGGGGAGCAAACAGGAUUAGAU
rnacentral:rRNA from 1 species